rnacentral:misc_RNA from 1 species
AAACAAAUAAGACCUGAGGCUCAAAAUUAGGUUCCACGCGUGAUUGACUUUGACCACCAAGUGCGCUUCUAAAUCUCCCUGGACCAUCUAGCUUUUUUGAAAAAUAAAGCCUUUGAAGUGCUUGAAUAUCGCAGUUAGGAUGGAGUCCAACCACCACCAUGCUCUCAAAUAGCCUUGAUGGCUCUUUCCAAACUCUAUGAUCCAGGGAUUGCAACUGAAACCUAGCCCACUGACGCUUUUGGCUAGUUAAUAUUUCCGGAUUGUACGCUCCACUUUUAACUUCAGGGGGACUGGAGAAGCCCUUCAUUAAUCUAGUUACUUGACGCUGCAAUUUCUGAA